UUUUUGCCGGGUCACUCAAAACAAAACGAAAAGAUAAAAAUAACACUCACACUCAUCAACAAUCCCUCACCUCCCCUUGCACACACUCGACUGAAGAAAAAGAAAAAGAUAAUGAGUGAAAAUGAAGGCGAUAUAAAGAGCUCGAGAGAUGAAGAAGGCGGCACAAAGUGCAUCAGAACAUAUUUGGGCUAACUUUUACAAAUCAAUCAAGAUGGGAUGAUUGAACAAAAUUGGGACUUUUAUCAAAACUAGGAUUUUUUAGUAUGAAUUCGGGGUUUUGGUUUUUCACUAAAUUCUCUAUCAGGGUUUAAUUGAAGUUCAUUCUUUGUUUCAGGGCUAAUUUGGUUGCUUUGGGGUUUAAUUGAAUUUCUCAUCUUGUGCUUCUACAGUUCAAGGUACAUCCUCUCCUUGAUUUCAUGUAUAUAUGUAUGUGUUUAUGUCCUGUGUAUAUCAUUAAAUAGAUUGUCUGUUUGGAACUUUAAUUGAGAUUCAUGUGUAUAUGUGUGUGUGUGUGUUUAUGCCUAUUCUGUUCUUUAUGUGUGUAUGCUCUAUUCUCUCCACUUGCUGAUUGAGAUUGUGGGUGCCUGGAAAUCAUAAAAUGAGGGUUGAACAGUCUGAGGAAUUUAGAACUGGAGCAACUCAUCUGAAAACCAGAACAACUUAAAGAGAGCAUCUGCACUUUGAACAACAGGUUCUAGGACAGGAAUAUCUUUAAUUUAUUAAA
rnacentral:lncRNA from 1 species